rnacentral:rRNA from 1 species
UCGACCUCAAAUCAGGUAGGACUACCCGCUGAACUUAAGCAUAUCAAUAAGCGGAGGAAAAGAAACUAACAAGGAUUCCCCUAGUAACUGCGAGUGAAGCGGGAACAGCUCAAAUUUCGAAUCUGGCGGUCUUCGGCCGUCCGAGUUGUAAUCUAGAGAAGCGUC